rnacentral:rRNA from 1 species
GCCGAACUUAAGCAUAUUACUCAGCGGAGGAAAAGAAAACAACCGUGAUUCCCUCAGUCAGCGGCGAGCGAAGAGGGACCCAACUCGUUGCCGAAUCGGGCCUUACAAGGUCUUGAAUUGUGGCAAAAACG